UACGUAGGGUGCAAGCGUUAAUCGGAAUUACUGGGCGUAAAGCGUGCGCAGGCGGUUUUGUAAGUCUGUCGUGAAAUCCCCGGGCUCAACCUGGGAAUUGCAUUGGAGACUGCAAGGCUAGAAUCUGGCAGAGGGGGGUAGAAUUCCACGUGUAGCAGUGAAAUGCGUAGAGAUGUGGAGGAACACCGAUGGCGAAGGCAGCCCCCUGGGUCAAGAUUGACGCUCAUGCACGAAAGCGUGGGGAACAAACAGG
rnacentral:rRNA from 1 species